ACUAAGCGUACACGGUGGAUGCCCUGGCAGUCAGAGGCGAUGAAGGACGUGCUAAUCUGCGAUAAGCGUCGGUAAGGUGAUAUGAACCGUUAUAACCGGCGAUUUCCGAAUGGGGAAACCCAGUGUGUUUCGACACACUAUCAUUAACUGAAUCCAUAGGUUAAUGAGGCGAACCGGGAGAACUGAAACAUCUAAGUACCCCGAGGAAAAGAAAUCAACCGAGAUUCCCCCAGUAGCGGCGAGCGAACGGGGAGCAGCCCAGAGCCUGAAUCAGUGUGUGUGUUAGUGGAAGCGUCUGGAAAGGCGCGCGAUACAGGGUGACAGCCCCGUACACAAAAAUGCACAUGCUGUGAGCUCGAUGAGUAGGGCGGGACACGUGGUAUCCUGUCUGAAUAUGGGGGGACCAUCCUCCAAGGCUAAAUACUCCUGACUGACCGAUAGUGAACCAGUACCGUGAGGGAAAGGCGAAAAGAACCCCGGCGAGGGGAGUGAAAAAGAACCUGAAACCGUGUACGUACAAGCAGUGGGAGCCUCUUUAUGGGGUGACUGCGUACCUUUUGUAUAAUGGGUCAGCGACUUAUAUUCUGUAGCAAGGUUAACCGAAUAGGGGAGCCGAAGGGAAACCGAGUCUUAACUGGGCGUUAAGUUGCAGGGUAUAGACCCGAAACCCGGUGAUCUAGCCAUGGGCAGGUUGAAGGUUGGGUAACACUAACUGGAGGACCGAACCGACUAAUGUUGAAAAAUUAGCGGAUGACUUGUGGCUGGGGGUGAAAGGCCAAUCAAACCGGGAGAUAGCUGGUUCUCCCCGAAAGCUAUUUAGGUAGCGCCUCGUGAAUUCAUCUCCGGGGGUAGAGCACUGUUUCGGCAAGGGGGUCAUCCCGACUUACCAACCCGAUGCAAACUGCGAAUACCGGAGAAUGUUAUCACGGGAGACACACGGCGGGUGCUAACGUCCGUCGUGAAGAGGGAAACAACCCAGACCGCCAGCUAAGGUCCCAAAGUCAUGGUUAAGUGGGAAACGAUGUGGGAAGGCCCAGACAGCCAGGAUGUUGGCUUAGAAGCAGCCAUCAUUUAAAGAAAGCGUAAUAGCUCACUGGUCGAGUCGGCCUGCGCGGAAGAUGUAACGGGGCUAAACCAUGCACCGAAGCUGCGGCAGCGACGCUUAUGCGUUGUUGGGUAGGGGAGCGUUCUGUAAGCCUGUGAAGGUGUGCUGUGAGGCAUGCUGGAGGUAUCAGAAGUGCGAAUGCUGACAUAAGUAACGAUAAAGCGGGUGAAAAGCCCGCUCGCCGGAAGACCAAGGGUUCCUGUCCAACGUUAAUCGGGGCAGGGUGAGUCGACCCCUAAGGCGAGGCCGAAAGGCGUAGUCGAUGGGAAACAGGUUAAUAUUCCUGUACUUGGUGUUACUGCGAAGGGGGGACGGAGAAGGCUAUGUUGGCCGGGCGACGGUUGUCCCGGUUUAAGCGUGUAGGCUGAUUUUCCAGGCAAAUCCGGAAAAUCAAGGCUGAGGCGUGAUGACGAGGCACUACGGUGCUGAAGCAACAAAUGCCCUGCUUCCAGGAAAAGCCCCUAAGCAUCAGGUAACAUCAAAUCGUACCCCAAACCGACACAGGUGGUCAGGUAGAGAAUACCAAGGCGCUUGAGAGAACUCGGGUGAAGGAACUAGGCAAAAUGGUGCCGUAACUUCGGGAGAAGGCACGCUGAUAUGUAGGUGAAGUCCCUCGCGGAUGGAGCUGAAAUCAGUCGAAGAUACCAGCUGGCUGCAACUGUUUAUUAAAAACACAGCACUGUGCAAACACGAAAGUGGACGUAUACGGUGUGACGCCUGCCCGGUGCCGGAAGGUUAAUUGAUGGGGUCAGCGCAAGCGAAGCUCUUGAUCGAAGCCCCGGUAAACGGCGGCCGUAACUAUAACGGUCCUAAGGUAGCGAAAUUCCUUGUCGGGUAAGUUCCGACCUGCACGAAUGGCGUAAUGAUGGCCAGGCUGUCUCCACCCGAGACUCAGUGAAAUUGAACUCGCUGUGAAGAUGCAGUGUACCCGCGGCAAGACGGAAAGACCCCGUGAACCUUUACUAUAGCUUGACACUGAACAUUGAGCCUUGAUGUGUAGGAUAGGUGGGAGGCUUUGAAGUGUGGACGCCAGUCUGCAUGGAGCCGGCCUUGAAAUACCACCCUUUAAUGUUUGAUGUUCUAACGUGGACCCGUAAUCCGGGUUGCGGACAGUGUCUGGUGGGUAGUUUGACUGGGGCGGUCUCCUCCUAAAGAGUAACGGAGGAGCACGAAGGUUGGCUAAUCCUGGUCGGACAUCAGGAGGUUAGUGCAAUGGCAUAAGCCAGCUUGACUGCGAGCGUGACGGCGCGAGCAGGUGCGAAAGCAGGUCAUAGUGAUCCGGUGGUUCUGAAUGGAAGGGCCAUCGCUCAACGGAUAAAAGGUACUCCGGGGAUAACAGGCUGAUACCGCCCAAGAGUUCAUAUCGACGGCGGUGUUUGGCACCUCGAUGUCGGCUCAUCACAUCCUGGGGCUGAAGUAGGUCCCAAGGGUAUGGCUGUUCGCCAUUUAAAGUGGUACGCGAGCUGGGUUUAGAACGUCGUGAGACAGUUCGGUCCCUAUCUGCCGUGGGCGCUGGAGAACUGAGGGGGGCUGCUCCUAGUACGAGAGGACCGGAGUGGACGCAUCACUGGUGUUCGGGUUGUCAUGCCAAUGGCACUGCCCGGUAGCUAAAUGCGGAAGAGAUAAGUGCUGAAAGCAUCUAAGCACGAAACUUGCCCCGAGAUGAGUUCUCCCUGACCAUUUAAGGGUCCUGAAGGAACGUUGAAGACGACGACGUUGAUAGGCCGGGUGUGUAAGCGCAGCGAUGCGUUGAGCUAACCGGUACUAAUGAACCGUGAGGCUUAACC
rnacentral:rRNA from 1 species